AUUGUAGACUCAGCAAUGACCUGCCAAGGUGUCUCCGGAAGGUGGUGAUUGACUCCGCUGUCCUGGCGUCGUGAGGGAGCUUGUUCCACCAUUGGGGUGCCAGAGCAGCGAACAGUUUUGACUGGGCUGAGCGGGAACUGUGCUUCCUCAGAGAUUCUUUAGGCUGGACCAGAUGCAGAUGAGGGGCAUGCCUUUGCCGUGCUAGUGCCGCAGUCUGUGAUGACUCCAUCGGUGGUGUCUGGCUCCUCCGUGGGCAGCAGAUGGCUUGAAGGACCAGUGGCUGGAGGAUCUGCAAGCAAGUGAUGGCAGACGGAAACACCAUCAAAGCGAGGGAUGGCAUGGCACUGCAGAGGACCCGACACCAAAGCCCUGGUCUAUUGACCAAUCCUAUCUAACACGAUGACCAGCUCAAUUCAUUAUUGAGAUGAGUAGCUCAGCUAAUACAAGUCAAAACACUAUUAACAGUUAAUCCAGUUCAUAGCAGUGAAAAUGUUUACAUUAUUUGUCAGAAACAGAUUGUUUUUGAUCAGUUCUGGCACGUACAGUAUUAGUCAUGUUUAUGGAAGUGCCAAAAGGUUAGUGCUUUCGGGGCUAUGUAUGACCCUUGGAUUUGCUGCUAGGUUUAUAAUACACUGAUGUGGGAAAUAAAGUACUGUUUUGAC
rnacentral:lncRNA from 1 species